rnacentral:rRNA from 1 species
AGAGUUUGAUCCUGGCUCAGGAUGAACGCUAGCGACAGGCUUAACACAUGCAAGUCGAGGGGCAGCACAGGUAGCAAUACCGGGUGGCGACCGGCGCACGGGUGAGUAACGCGUAUGCAACUUGCCUAUCAGAGGGGGAUAACCCGGCGAAAGUCGGACUAAUACCGCAUGAAGCAGGGAUCCCGCAUGGGAAUAUUUGCUAAAGAUUCAUCGCUGAUAGAUAGGCAUGCGUUCCAUUAGGCAGUUGGCGGGGUAACGGCCCACCAAACCGACGAUGGAUAGGGGUUCUGAGAGGAAGGUCCCCCACAUUGGUACUGAGACACGGACCAAACUCCUACGGGAGGCAGCAGUGAGGAAUAUUGGUCAAUGGCCGAGAGGCUGAACCAGCCAAGUCGCGUGAGGGAUGAAGGUUCUAUGGAUCGUAAACCUCUUUUAUAAGGGAAUAAAGUGCGGGACGUGUCCCGUUUUGUAUGUACCUUAUGAAUAAGGAUCGGCUAACUCCGUGCCAGCAGCCGCGGUAAUACGGAGGAUCCGAGCGUUAUCCGGAUUUAUUGGGUUUAAAGGGUGCGUAGGCGGCCUUUUAAGUCAGCGGUGAAAGUCUGUGGCUCAACCAUAGAAUUGCCGUUGAAACUGGGGGGCUUGAGUAUGUUUGAGGCAGGCGGAAUGCGUGGUGUAGCGGUGAAAUGCAUAGAUAUCACGCAGAACCCCGAUUGCGAAGGCAGCUUACUACACUACCGCUGACGCUGAAGCACGAAAGCGUGGGUAUCAAACAGGAUUAGAUACCCUGGUAGUCCACGCAGUAAACGAUGAAUACUAACUGUUUGCGAUACACAGUAAGCGGUACAGCGAAAGCGUUAAGUAUUCCACCUGGGGAGUACGCCGGCAACGGUGAAACUCAA